AACGAACGCUGGCGGCAUGCCUAACACAUGCAAGUCGAACGACACCUUCGGGUCUAGUGGCUCACGGGUGCGUCAAGCGUGGGAACCUGCCCUUAGGUUCCGAAUAACUCCCCGAAAGGGGUGCUAAUACAGGAUAAUUUCUUCGGACCAAACAUAUGUCGCGUUUGGGUGGGCACGCGUUGGUUGAGCUUGUUGGUAGGGUAAAAGCCUACCAAGGCGUCGAUACAUAGCUGGUCUGAGAGGCUGAGCAGCGACACUGGGAGUGAGACGCGGCCCAGAAUACUGCGCGAGGCAGGAGUGGGGAAUAUUGGACAACGGGCGAAAGGCUGAUGCAGUAAUGCUGGGUGAGUGAUGAAGGCCGGAGGGUUGUAAAGCUCGUUUAUCCGGGAUGAUAAUGACGGUACCGGGAGAAUAAGCACCGGCUAACUCCGUG
rnacentral:rRNA from 1 species